CCUACGGGAGGCAGCAGUGGGGGAUAUUGCACAAUGGGGGAAACCCUGAUGCAGCGACGCCGCGUGAGUGAAGAAGUAUUUCGGUAUGUAAAGCUCUAUCAGCAGGGAAGAAAUAGCGACCUUUGGGUCGCCAGACGGUACCUGCUUAAGAAGCCCCGGCUAACUACGUGCCAGCAGCCGCGCUAAUACGUAGGGGGCAAGCGUGAUCCGGAUUUACUGGGUGUAAAGGGAGCGUAGACGGCAGAGCAAGUCUGAAGUGAAAUGCCGGGGCUGAACCCCGGAACUGCUUUGGAAACUGUGGAGCUAGAGUGCAGGAGAGGUAAGUGGAAUUCCUAGUGUAGCGGUGAAAUGCGUAGAUAUUAGGAGGAACACCAGUGGCGAAGGCGGCUUACUGGACUGUAACUGACGUUGAGGCUCGAAAGCGUGGGGAGCAAACAGGAUUAGAUACCCUGGUAGUC
rnacentral:rRNA from 1 species